rnacentral:rRNA from 1 species
AGUGAACGCUGGCGGUAGGCCUAACACAUGCAAGUCGAACGGCAGCACAGGAGAGCUUGCUCUCUGGGUGGCGAGUGGCGGACGGGUGAGGAAUACAUCGGAAUCUACUUUUUCGUGGGGGAUAACGUAGGGAAACUUACGCUAAUACCGCAUACGACCUACGGGUGAAAGCAGGGGAACUUCGGGCCUUGCGCGAUUGAAUGAGCCGAUGGCGGAUUAGCUAGUUGGCGGGGUAAAGGCCCACCAAGGCGACGAUCCGUAGCUGGUCUGAGAGGAUGAUCAGCCACACUGGAACUGAGACACGGUCCAGACUCCUACGGGAGGCAGCAGUGGGGAAUAUUGGACAAUGGGCGCAAGCCUGAUCCAGCCAUACCGCGUGGGUGAAGAAGGCCUUCGGGUUGUAAAGCCCUUUUGUUGGGAAAGAAAUCCAGCUGGCUAAUACCCGGUUGGGAUGACGGUACCCAAAGAAUAAGCACCGGCUAACUUCGUGCCAGCAGCCGCCGUAA